CACCAGCGCGCUUGUUUUCUGCAGAGGAAGCACGCCCGUGAGGUGAGCUUUGUGCUAAGGAAUGAAAUAGCCAACAGCGUUUUUUUUUUUUCACUUUCGUAUCUCAUCAAAACGAUGAUGUGACCAAACAGGCCGCUGACAAACUCUUAGCGCAAGCGGCGGUCACAGUGAAAACAUUUUCAGGUGCGAUAGUGUAAGCCACGGUCGCCUCUGAAUCGCUGCAGACAGUGAGGACGCUGUUGUCUGGUGAUCAAGUGCCAAAUGCCAAGACUUGAAGGACACUGUUGGAGUUGCUCCUGUUCAUCACGAAUGAAAGCUAAAGACCUGUCGAGUGCCAGUUGGGUUUCAUCUAAAGUAGAAGAAAUGAUGUCCAUCAUAACCUCAGUUAUGCGGCAUGCAUAUGGGUCCAUUCACAGUAUCCAGUCCGCUAACCUAAUACGACGGGGCUUCGUGCUGUUUACCGUCGGAGUGUUUCUCGCAUUGGUGCUAAAUUUGCUACAAAUUCAAAGAAACGUCACGUUGUUCCCCGAGGAAGUGAUAGCAACUUUGUUCUCGUCUGCCUGGUGGAUUCCACCUAGUUGUGGAACAGCAGCAGCUGUGGUUGGCCUGCUGUACCCUUGUCUGGACAGCCAUCUUGGGGAGCCACACAAGUUUAAGAGGGAGUGGGCCAGUGUGAUGCGUUGCAUCGCAGUGUUUGUGGGCAUCAACCACGCCAGUGCUAAACUGGACUUUGCUAAUAAUGUCCAGCUCUCCCUGACCCUGGCAGCACUGUCGCUGGGCCUGUGGUGGACGUUUGACCGCUCCAGGAGUGGCUUCGGCCUUGGCAUCACCACAGCCCUGCUGGCCACACUCAUCACACAGCUACUGGUCUACAACGGUGUUUACCAGUACACCUCUCCAGACUUCUUGUAUGUUCGCUCGUGGCUACCCUGUAUAUUCUUCUCCGGGGGCAUUACUGUGGGAAACAUUGGACGGCAGCUGGCUAUGGGAGCUGCAGAGAAACCUCACAACGACUAGGCAGCAAGGCUGACUUUUGAAGGUCAAAGGGCGCAGAGACGCAGGGGCGGAGGGGGGGGGGGCAAUCCGGUCGCUCCCCCCUCCCACACCUCGAAAUGUCGGGACUGUUCUAGAGCCCGGGAGGGGAUGCACAUCAAUCAUCGGAGAGACCCCCUCUUCUCGUUUGUACUCCUGAUUUAUUUUUUUCCUCCUUCUUGUUGCUCAGCGAAAAAGUAUGAAAAAGAAGAGACAUUAACUGAGGUGGUUGGCACACAGAACUGACCCACAGUGCCCUACACCUCUGUGUGGCCAAAUGAUGCCCUGUGACCUUCCCACCAUGACCUUCAUCACCAUCACCAUCCUCCUAACACACACAUAAACAUAAACACACACACACACACACACACACACACACACACACACACACACAAACAUACACGUUCAUCUUCCGCCUGCUGUUGAGGAGGCUGGAUGCUGGUUUCUCAUUGCUGAAGCCUGUGGCUUACUUUGCUCUGAGAUAAAAGAACAGCAGGCCAUUUGAGGGGGGGGGGGGGGGGGGGGAAUGGUGGUUAGGUUGACUAGUCCUUAAAGAUAAGAGGGUGCAUGGGUGGUGGUGCUAGAGUAAGAGAGGUGUGUGCGCGCGUGUGUGCAUGCAUGUUUUUCUUGUUUUACUUUCCUGCUGGAUGCAAAAACGAAAGGGAAACAUUUCAGAGCUGUGAAAGAAAAUGUAUGUAAUUGUUUUUUCUUUUCUUUUUUGUUUGUGUGUGUGUGGUUUAGUUUCUUUUCUCUUGAGGGAAGGGGGGAGGGGGUGGCGGGGGCAAGUCUCAAAAGGCAAAAGUACAGCUUGAACCAGAAGUAUUUCCAAACCGAUGUUCAGUCGUGCCAAUUUGAAGGAACACAGAAGACGGGGGCACCGGGGCUAUGUGUUGGGCUCAGCCUUCCAUGGGUUAGGGUUGGCCUCUGCUGCUGGGUUGGCCUCCGCUGCUGGGUUAGCCUCCGCUGCUGGGUUGGCCUCCGCUGCUGGGUUGGCCUCCGCUGCUGGGUUAGCCUCUGCUGCUGACCCAGCACAAGACACAGCCUGUGCUAAUUCCUCUCGUCCUCCUUUGCACCUGACAGAAAGGUGCCAAAGUUCAUCCACUCUAUCUCUCCUGUCUGCUGAGUAUGUGUGGGGGAGGGGGGGGUAACAAUUUUUAUGAAAGCAAAAUUGUUCAUUACGUCCAGAGUAGCAAGCAGUGAAUGAUUGGAAAACACUUUGUCCUAAUUUGAAGAAUCUACGGGCAUUUUUUUUUUUCCAGCAACCUCGACGAUUUGCAAUCUGUGAUUGCCUUGUAUGAUAGAAUUGAGUGCUUUUGUCACUAUUCCAUUGUUAUUCCUCAUCUUCUUUUGUACUUAAUUUGUUGUUGGUUUUUUGCUCACACAUGUAAUCACUUUUCCCAUGUACUCAGAAAGGUAUUACUGUGCUGUAGACCUAGUUUUUAGCAGGGUUUGGGGUCUAAGCAACUGAAGUGCAAUCCAAUAUGUAUGAGCAUGGUAUACUUUCCUAUUUAUUAUUUUUGAUGUUUAAAAGAAAAUACACAGUGAGACUCGUAUGCAGUGUGGAAAACAAAACCAAGCAAUAAUAGUAGUGAUGUAGUGUGUGUGUGUGUGUGUGUGUGUGUGUGUGUGCCUGGGACAUUUCAGUUUGAGCAUUAUUUCUACUAUCUUGGACUUCAAGUGAAAAGUAAAAAAGAAAAUAUUAAAAAUAAUUUUUUUUAAUACAUUUA